GUCCCUUUAAACAUGGAGGGGUGUGUGGUAAAGAUAUCCUUAUUUUGGUGCAUUAUUCCAACGUUACUGAUUAUUACCACGGCGCAGGAGUGAAGCUGGACGAAAAAGAGGGUGUUACAAUGGGCCACAUACAGCCCCUCAGGGUACGCCGCCCGUCCCCUCCUUGCACGCCCCCUCUUGUCCAGACACUCGAGGGACACCUUAAACGUACCUGGAGAUUUUGAUUCCCUUUAAAGAGCCUUCGAAUCUGCUACCAUCACCAACACCACCAAGAAUUCGAGUAGAUGGAUGCUACACCGAAAUCGGAUCCGAAUUAAUAGAAUACUGGUAGCAGGAAGAGGUACUGGAAUCAGAUUACCGGAGGAAGGGCCAAGAAAUACAGGGAUGCAGGUGCAGCGAGAGGGGGAGGGAGGCGGCGGCGGGAAGAGGGAUGGAGUGAUGGGAGAGAGUGGAAAGAGUGCUUGUGAGAUUAAAGAGCAGGAGGAGGAGGAGGAGGAGGAGGAGGUGGAAAGGGAUGGAAAGGCGUGACAGAAUGAUGCACGGAGGAGGAAUUAUGACCUUGAAGAAGAUGUGUUGGUGGUAAAAGAUUGCACUGAGAGAGAGAGAGAGAGAGAGAGAGAGAGAGAGAGAGAGAGAGAGAGAGAGAGAGAGAGAGAGAGAGAGUAUGUGUGUGUGUGUGUGUGUGUGUGUGUGUGUGUGUGUGUGUGUGUGUGUGUGUGUGUGUUAUUUGUUUGGAUGCAUGAGUCAGUUCCGUUCCCUGACUCUCCCUUGCCUUCCUAUCGCGCGCCAAGAACACACUCAAACUGCUUUCCAAUUCUUCGUCCGCCCGCACGCCUCCACCCCAUAAUUUGCCUCGGAAUGGCUCCAUAACACCGCCGGAGUAAGUGGGGCGUGCCUAGCUUCGUGGUUAGUGCUAAGUGGUAAGUGGCGUGGUGCUAGUGGCGUGGGUGGGAUAGUGUGUGCGUGUGUGCGUGAAGGAGGGGACACAGAGAGAGAGAGAGAGAGAGAGAGAGAGAGAGAGAGAGAGAGAGAGAGAGAGAGAGAGAGAUUAAUACCUGUCAAAUAUAUAUGCACGUAACUCACACCUCACUCUGAUGGUAACAGUACGUAAUCGAAGACAAAGCUAACGUAUUCAUUUAUUUUUUCUUCCUUUCUUUCUUCGUAUCAGCGAUGUACAAUUUUCGUCACUCGCUCGAUCAUCACCUUCAGUCACCUCCAUUAGCACCUGAGGCAUUUAAGGUACAGGUGGUGAUUUCAGUCGCAGUUUACACCUGCUCUUUCUUUAUUAGCUGACACGCACGCUUUUCUCUGUCCUCGACACCAAGUCAUUCCUGAAGGUCAUAUUUAAUUCCUCCUGAAAGAUACAACUGACGGACGCUGAUUCUUAAACUCGCUUCUCUCGUUAGGACUAUUUUCAAAAGCCACACAGACGAUUAGCUAAAUUGUCACGGGCGUUUUUUAUUCAAAUAAUGAUGCAGAAUCUUUGUUAAAUUUUCACUCAAAUCUUAAAAAAACAUUAACUUAGAAGUGAUUUGUUUGAUUCUCAAGGUUGUUUUAAUAAUGAGACAGAAUCCUUGUUAAACUUGCAAUAGAAUCAUGAAA